UCGCAAUCCUCCGCCCCCCACCACCGAUCCUCCGGUUUCCCCACACCGUGCGGUGCCCGCCGCUCUUCCUCUGCAAUUUCGCCGCUGGGGACGACUUCAAGGCCCACGGCUUCUCCUUCCCCUUCACGCCGCCCCUCUCCCACCCCGAAUCUGACUCCUUCUCCACUGCCGCCGCCGACGUCCCCGCCGCCGAGAACUUUCGCCGCAGCCGCUCCGCUUUGCGAACCGCCGACAGUCGUGCCCGUGAAGGAAGAGAAAGAGGAAAAGGGAUAUAUUUGUGAGGGCAUUUCUGCAAAAUACCAGCUGGAGCUUAUGGAAGGACAUAUUUGUGAGGGCAAAAAUGUCAUUUCACAACUCUACUGUUAAAAAAUAAACAGCUCUCUAACGGAUCCUAACCAGAGAGACAUAUCUAUAUAUUUGUGAGGGCAAAAAUAUCAUUUUACAACUUUACUGUCAAAAAAUAAAUAGCUCUCUCACGGAUCCUAACCAGAGUGACAUAUCUGAAUACAUUAGGACUUUUGUAGGGAUAACUUAUGAAAGUUGAGUUUUGCAGGAAUAUAUCUGCAAUUCACCAUGUUUGUAGGGACGUGUAUGCAAUUAACCCUAUUUAUAAAUAUCAACUUUUUCACUUUUUCUCCUAACUUUUAAGAAUCUACAUUUUACCCCCUGAACAUUUCAAAUUGUUGCAUUUAGCCCCACUCUGUUAGGGUUUCAUCACUAUUCCGUUUUAUUUUUUAUAAUUUAUACUAAAAAUAUCUUUUAAAAUGAUACAAAUAUAUUAAAAAAUUAUUACUUUUUAUUACAGAAUAAGUAAAGGCAAUUUGAUCAUUUUUUUCUCUCCAUUAAUGCCAUACUCUCCUGAAAUAUUUUUAAAAUUUUAAAGAAGCAAAAUAUAGAUAUUUAAAAGUCAGGGAAUGAAAGUAAAAAAGCGGAUAUCUACAAAAAGUUUUUAUUUAAUUUAGCCUUUAUUAAAUAUCAUUUGUCACGUCCCGGGUUACCACGUUUUCCCGGGCACGCUAAUAGACCCGUUGUAUACAAAGAAUUUUUCCUGUAUACGAAGCGAUAGCUGUACCUGUAAACAAAACCAAGCUACAACCACAAGGUAAAAAACUGCCAAACAGAGCUGAAUAUAAAGAUAAAACAUCAGGUUCACUAUACAUACUAAGUCUCUGAGAUACAACCAACCUUCGCUCCAGCGAGUAAACCAACAUAAGUAUGUACAAGAACCAAAACACCCCAAAACUACCUGUGAUAGAUCCUCCUCUAGUACGGCGACACGACUAGUAGAGAUCUAGUUUGCAACUCCCUUCUCACGGUCGGAAUCAGCAACAAUAGCAUCCGCAGUCGAAGGCUCUGCAAAAAGGGAUCAACAACUUGGUGUGAGAACUACUACAAAAUAUAGUAGUCCUCAGUGGGUAC
rnacentral:lncRNA from 1 species